rnacentral:rRNA from 1 species
CUAAGAAUAUUCCGCAAUGGAGGAAACUCUGACGGAGCGACGCCGCGUGGAUGAUGAAGGUCGGAAGAUUGUAAAAAUCCUUUUAUGACUGAGGAAUAAGCCGGGUGAGAGAAACGCCUGGUGGUGACUGUAGGUCAUGAAUAAGCAACGGCUAAUUACGUGCCAGCAGCCGCGGUAACACGUAAGUUGCGAGCGUUGUUCGGAAUUAUUGGGCGUAAAGGGCAUGUAGGCGGUAUUGCAAGCCUGGUGUGAAAGGCAGGGGCUCAACCUCUGGACUGCGCUGGGAACUGCGAUACUAGAGUCGCUGAGGGGCAAUCAGAAUUCCAGGUGUAGCGGUGAAAUGCGUAGAUAUUGGGAGGAACACCAGUGGCGAAGGCGGCCUGCUGGACAUUAAACUGACGCUGAGGAGCG